GGCUUUCUAACGCAGCGUUAUGCAGCACAGGCGGCACCAACAGCCUGCCACGGGAUGGCAUGGCAUGGAGUGCUGAUAAAACCAGGAUGAUAGUGUCAUACCAGGCACUCUAAAGGAAACAAUUCCAUCUCAGAUGAAACAAAGGCGGGCAGGCAUUUGGGAGGGCUGCACGACUGAGGGAUGCCUUCUGAGUGCAACAUCAGGAGAACUUGGAGCACUGCCUCAAAGAAGAACAGUGCUGGGCACUGCGGCAGGCCCAGGGUGCGCUGGUGGAGCUGGCACACCGCCUCUGCUCUCAUGCGCCCUCUGAGCCUUCUCCCCAUUGCGCUCCCCCUUCACUUGUUUCUUGGCAGGCUCCAGCUCUGCUUUUGGCUUCUCUUCCAAGCCCUUGGGCUUUCUUCCAGACAGGGUCUUGGAGAAAGACUGGAUGUCAACUGCAGGGGAAGGUCUUCCUCCUGUGCUGGGCCCGCUCUUCCACGAAGCCCUCCAGCCUGGAGACGAGCUCCCUCAGAACGGACUUAAUUCACCGCUUGCACAUAGAUCUUGCCAUUUGGCUCAGCACCUCUCCCUGUUAUAAUCAAGAAGGAGAAGCAACAAGAUUUAAAGAGAGUGCAGCACUGCUUUUGCUCUGCAAAAUGGGCCCCAGUACUAGGAAAUGUGCUCUUGAGUGUUCGUGGUAAUGGAUCUUAAGAUCUUGGGUGAAUUGUGGGUUCCCAUUUCAAAUCAGGACAGGAAAGGUAACUGUAAAUCCCAGGGAUUAAGACCUCAAACAGCACGCAACAAGAACAGUCCCAGGAAAGAACAGAUGGAAAGCCUAACUAGAAAGACAGUGCAUCAAACCCAGAUGCCUGUUGUGUAUCUGUACCUCUCCUGGGUGCCGUGCCAUGCUCCGUGCUCCUGCACGUGGCCUGCCCCAGCGCCGAGUAAGCAGCUACGGACCUCAAAGCUCAGAGGGAAGAAGAUGCUGUGGUACCUGCCCUGCAAGAAGACAAAGACAAAAAGAGAAGAGAGCGGAAAUGAAGAAGGCUUCUCUCAGAGCUGCCGCUGCACAUGCAGAGUCCUCCGCAGUGAACAGCCUUGUGGAGCUGAUGCAGAAGCUGCAGCUGAAGGACUGAGAGGAGGAGCAGCAGAAGGCAGCGGCUGCUGUACCCCUUUCUUUCCCCCUUGCUUCCCCAUGCCUUCCCCCUGCAACGCCCUGCUGUUCUGCUGCUACUGUCACCUGUCAUUAAAAAAACACUUUUCGAACACAUUGGAUCAGACCGCAUACUCUCCCUGUUUAUAAAAGCAGUAAAACAAGGAAUAUAUUAUUAUGUAUUGAUGAACUCCCACCUGCUUGAAGACCAAUAGCAGCUUCUCAUUCUGGAUUAACUCCUGAACACAACCUGGACUCCAUGCAUGGAUUUGGUAUCAGCAGUGGCUCUGCAAUAUUGGGUCUGAGUCUUCAGCUUCCACUUCAAGUUCUAGUGUAAUUUAGGACACCAAAAAUGUGUAACCACUCCUUUCAAAACGAAAUAUAUAAGAAGAAAAUACACUUAGAAAAAAUGAUGAACAUCUAACUACAAUUCUGGAUAAAAGUAUGCUACAAUUUUAGAGGUGAGCUUUUGGGAUGCUCCUUUCUCAGAGCAACAUGGCUGUGUGUUGUAUCAGGCGUGUUACAGGGCACUCGGGUAUGUGACGGGGAAGGUCCUUCCUCAUAUGCUUCCUAUUGGUUCACCUACUUUACUUGAACCCGCGACGUAAGAAGGAGAGGCUGUCCUUCUUUGUUUUCAUAACAAGGUGUAUAACAACUCCGUGUAUGGCCUUUCGGAAGUGAGUGGCCAGAGCGGGAUAUUCAAUAUGAUUGGCCAGGAGCCUGCGUGAGCUUCUGGAACAGUCUAGUAAAAGAUAAGAUAUACUAUAUAGUUUUGUAGCUUUUAACAAUAAAAGUCAUUUUGCCGCUCA
ensembl:lncRNA